CCUACGGGGGGCAGCAGUGGGGAAUAUUGGGCAAUGGGCGCAAGCCUGACCCAGCAAUGCCGCGUGAAGGAAGAAGGCUUUCGGGUUGUAAACUUCUUUGACAGGGGAAGAGCAGAAGACGGUACCCUGAAAACAAGCCACGGCUAACUACGUGCCAGCAGCCGCGGUAAUACGUAGGUGGCAAGCGUUGUCCGGAUUUACUGGGUGUAAAGGGCGUGUAGCCGGGAAGGCAAGUCAGAUGUGAAAUCUGGAGGCUCAACCUCCAAAUUGCAUUUGAAACUGUUUUUCUUGAGUACUGGAGAGGCAGACGGAAUUCCUUGUGUAGCGGUGAAAUCCGUAGAUAUUAGAAGGAACACCAAUAGCGUAGGCAGGUUACUGGGACGGUUCUGACACUAAGGCACGAAAGCGUAGGGAGCAAACGGGAUUAGAUACCCGAGUAGUC
rnacentral:rRNA from 1 species